CGCGCUCCCGGCCCCGCCCCCAGGCGUGGCCCCGCCCCUUUCCCCGUUCCGGUUCCGAGCCCGCUCCGGACCGGCGCCGCUCCCGCAGCCGCUCCCAGUGCUCCCAGUAGCGCCCCGCUGCCCUCCCAGUGCUCCCAGUGCCGCCCCAGCGCUCCCAGUACCCCCCCAGUAACCCCCCCAGUAACUCCCAGUGCCGCCCAGUAACUCCCAGUGCCCCCCCAGUAGCUCCCAGUGCUCUCCCAGUAACUCCCAGCGCUCCCAGUUCCCCCCCCAGCGUUCUCCCAGUAGCUCCCAGUGCCUCCCAGUGCCUCCCAGUAGCUCCCAGUCCGGCAUGUUCCUGGUGAAGGGGCUGCUGGGGGGCGGGGGCGGUGGGGGAGGGGCCGGGGGGGGCCUCCCCGGGGGCAUCGGCUCCGUCCUGGGGGGGCUCCUGAGCGGGGAGGGGGCGGGGGCGGCGCCGGGGGGGCCAUGGGGGUCCUGGGGGGCGUCAUCAGCGCCAUCAGCGAAGCCGCCGCCCACUACAACCCCGAGCCCCCC